AAUGAACGCUGGCGGCGUGGUUAAGACAUGCAAGUCGAACGGUUUUCAUUGAAGGGCAACCGGAUAUGAAAGCAGUGGCGAACGGGUGCGUAACACGUGAACAAUCUACCUCCAAGUGGGGAAUAGCUCGCCGAAAGGCGAAUUAACACCGCAUGUGGUGCCUUCUCGCAUGAGAGGGUUACUAAAAACAGGGACCGCAAGGCCUGUUGCUAGGAGAGGAGUUCGCGGCCUAUCAGCUAGUUGGCGAGGUAACGGCUCACCAAGGCUAAGACGGGUAGCUGGUCUGAGAGGAUGAUCAGCCACAC
rnacentral:rRNA from 1 species